GAACGCACCUUGCGCUCCUUGGCAUUCCGAGGAGCAUGCCUGUUUGAGUGUCAUUAAAUUCUCAAUUCCAUCCUCCUUGCAGAGGUUUGGAGUUGGAAAUGGAAGCUUGCUGGCUUCACAGUCAGCUCUUCUGAAACAUAUUAGCGGGGCCUGUGUACGCACGGCUGAAGCUCUGGUAUUGAUGAGUGUCAUAUCAAGCUGCAGACGAGCAAUGUGCCCAGCUUACAGCUGUCUCUGUUGGGACAAUUGACUUGACAAUUUGACCUCAAAUCAGGUAGGACUACCCGCUGAACUUA
rnacentral:misc_RNA from 1 species